CAAACGACUCUCGGCAACGGAUAUCUCGGCUCAUGCAUCGAUGAAGAACGUAGCGAAAUGCGAUACUUGGUGUGAAUUGCAGAAUCCCGUGAACCAUCGAGUUUUUGAACGCAAGUUGCGCCCGAAGCCGUUUGGCCGAGGGCACGUCUGCCUGGGCGUCACAC
rnacentral:rRNA from 1 species